rnacentral:lncRNA from 1 species
AUGUCAGUGAUCUGGCAAUUAGCAAGAAGGCCCAACAGACCAAGGUUUGCCAUGAAUGCAAGAGCUGGCAGUACCCUCUCCAAAUGUUUCAUGCAUCCUAUUAUGAGCCUCUUCAAAGAAGGAGUAGUCACUGGCCUAGAAAGCGGUUGCAUUUCCAUUGUUCCUGGGAAGGUAUACACGUCCCUGUGGAAAUAAAGCAGGAAGAAGAAACAUUUGGAUUUAACAAACUUGAAAGACCAUUCCAAGAACAGCAGCUGGAUACCACCUUCAGAUAGCUCCAUCUGAAAUGAUGUGCCCAGGUGCUUACAGAAACUGCACUGGCAACUCACCCUACUAAUAGGUCAGCAUUUUUUCACCUGUAUAGAUUUGAGGUGCUGAAGGUAAGAUCAGAAGUUUAUUUCUCCUUACAAAAUAUUUUGAGGCAGAAAAAUUCCAAACCUGAUAAAAACCUGAGUGAGUUCACAUUGGGUCCCAGCAAUAAGUCAAGCUUUUGCUUUGACAAUUAUUGACUUGGAUACAGGAAG